rnacentral:rRNA from 1 species
UACGUAGGGGGCGAGCGUUGUCCGGAAUCAUUGGGCGUAAAGCGCGUGUAGGCGGCCCGGUAAGUCCGCUGUGAAAGUCCAGGGCUCAACCCUGGGAUGCCCGGUGGAUACUGUCGGGCUCGAGUCCGGAAGAGGCGAGUGGAAUUCCUGGUGUAGCGGUGAAAUGCGCAGAUAUCAGGAGGAACACCAUGGCGAAAGCGACUCCUGGACCAAGUACCGAUCGUUCGAGGCACGAAAGCGUGGGAGCAAACAGG